ACUUGUCUGGAUGGUUAAGAACAGAGAGGGUGGAAACAGCUAGCCAUCCGAGUUUGCAGAUGGGGGCUGAUGUGGGGCCUCCCAGGAGAAAGGAAAAUCCCUCGAAGGGGUGAAGAGACAGGACAGCAUUCCGACAGCCUGGCUGGCACACUUCCUCAACCCUCGUUGGCACCAUGGCAUUGAAAGUGUCUUCAGUUAAACUGGCUUUGUUUUUUCCAUUAUGAGGGGAGCAUGGUGAAUUCAUGGCAGUAGGUCUGAAUGGUCUAAAGGUUGGUCUGGCUUCACAGACGGUGUCCAUCAGCUGCUGACAUACCGAGGAAAUUAGGGAAAGCUGGCUUUCCAGUAUUUCUUUGGCAGAGGACCCAACAACUGACACCAAUCAGAAUUAGGGCCCGUAAAGCAUCGAGCCAGGACCUGAACGCUGAGCGUUUCUUUCUAAGAUGCGUUCAGCCCCUUAUCUUCCGGAUCAGUAAAUGUCUGCAUUUGUCUCACUCCCCUGGGGACUCUUUAUUGAUUUUAGGAUGAACCUGUCUGGUGCAAGCAGUGAACUGAGCUGACCAGAACCCCUGGGGCAUUUUCUGCUACAUACAUGGCUUAUUUUGGAUCUCUCUCUCUCUCUCUUUUUUUUUUUCUUUGUCUUCCACCCUGCAGCAUAUGGAAGUUCCCAGGCCAGGGAUCAGAUCAGAACUGCAGUUGCAACCUCCACUUCAGCUCCUGCCAUGCUGGGUCUUUAACUCACUAUGCCGGGCUGGGGAUCAAACCUGUGUCCUGGUGCUAUAGAAAUGCUGCCAGUCCUGCCGCACCAUGGUGGGAAUGCCUCAUUUUGGAUUUUUAUGCAAAGUUAAUUCUUUAAGAUUUCUUGCUGUCUGACUUGAAAGAUGCAUACUCAGAAGGCAGGGGGGGGGGAAAAAAACCCCAUCAUCAAAACAAAAGCCAACCAUCGACAGGAACAAAAAAACCAAAAGCCAAAAACCAAAUCCUUAAGUUUAGCAUAGGUCUGCAAACAAUAAAAGGGGGAUUUCUCGAUAACCUCGUACAAACUGACUUGGCAAGUGAGUGGCAGAAAGGGAAGGUUAGCUCCUGUCUAAGUCCACGCCUGCUCACUGGGGCCACUCUGAGCUCCAGGGCCCACGUCAUCAGCACAGGGUGCUAGUCUCUCACAUCUUGACAUCUUGAGAAGAGCCCCGGUAUUGAAAUUGGCUUAAAACGCUGUUCCUUACAGGAAACAAAAGAAAAAACUGGAUGCAUUGGAUUACACCAAAAUUUAAAACUUCUGUGCAUCAAAAGACACAAUCAUCAGAGUGAAAUGGCAACCCAUGGAAUGGGAGAAUUUGUAAAUCAUACAUGUGAUAAAGGGAUAAUACUCAGAAUAUAUAAAAACUCUACAACUCAACCACAAUAAAGUAAACAACCUGAGUAAGAAAGGGGUCAGGGACUUGAAUAGGCAUUUCUCUAAAGAAGACAGAGAAAUAAGUUGGAGUUUCUGCUGUGAUGCAGUGGGUUAAGAAUCUGACUGCAGCUGCUCAGGUCACUGUAGAGCUGUGGGUUCAAUCCCCAGCCAGACCAGUGGGUUAAAGGAUCCAGCCUUGCUGCAGCUAUGGUGGAGGUUGCAGCUGGCUCAAAUUGGAUCCCUGGCCCCAGAACUUCCAUAUGCUGUGGGUGCAAGGAGGGUGGGGGUGGUGGUGGGGGGAAGAUAUACGAAUAAGCACAUUCAAAGAUUCUCAUCAUCGCUCAUCAGCAGGGAAAUGCAGAUCAAAACCACAACAUACCACCUCAUAUUUAUGAGAAGGGCUACUAUCAAAACCCAGAAAAUAAUAACUGUUAGUGAGGCUGUGGAGAAGUUGGGAGCCUCAUGUGCUGCCAUAGGGAAGGUAAAAGACCACAGUUGCCAUGGGCAAUAACAUGGUAGCUCCUCAAAAAAUGAAAAAUAGAAUUACCAUGUGAUCCAUGCAGUUUCACUUCUGGGUAGGUCCUCAGCAGAAUGGAAGGCAAGAUCUUGAAGAGAUUUGUACACCCAAGUUCAGAGCAGCGUUAGUCACAAUAGUCGAGAGGGAGUUGAGUGGAUAAAUAAAGGGUGGUAUAUCCAUACAAGGGAAUAUUAUUCUGCCUUAAAAAGGAAGGGACCCAUCAAUCCCACUCUUGAGCAUAUAUCCAGACAAAACUUUCCUUGAAAAAGACACAUGCACCCGUGUGUUCCUUGCAGCACUAUUCACUAUAGCCAAGACAUGGAAACAACCUAAAUGCCCAUUGACAGAUGAAUGGAUUAAUCAGAUGUGGUGCAUAUACACAGUGGAAUACUACUCAGCCAUCACAAAGAACAACAUGGAUGGAACUGGAGACUCUCAAACUAAGUGAAGUAAGUCAGAAGAGAAAGACAAAUACCGUAUAAUAUCACAUAUCUGGAAUGUAAUAUACAGCACAAAUGAAUCUUUCCACAGAAAAGAAACUCAUGGACUUGGAGAACAGACUUGUGGUUGCCAAGAGGGAAGAGGGGGCGAGUGGGAUGGACUGGGAAUUUGGGGUUAAUAGAUGCAAACUAUUGCCUUUGCAAUGGAUAAGCAACAAGAUCCUGCNUCAGAUCGCUGGGAACUGUAUCUAGUCACUUAUGAUGGAGCAUGAUGGAGGAUAAUGCGAGAAAAAGAAUGUAUAUGUGUACGUGUGACUGGGACACCUGGCCGUAUAGUAGAAAAUUGACAGAACACUUUAAACCAGCUAUAAUGGAAAAAAUAAAA
rnacentral:lncRNA from 1 species